UGGGGAAUUUUGCACAAUGGGCGCAAGCCUGAUGCAGCGACGCCGCGUGAGGGAUGAAGGCCUUCGGGUUGUAAACCUUUUUCGCUCAUGGUCAAGCCGCAGCUUUGGGUUGUGGUGAGGGUAGUGGGUAAAGAAGCGCCGGCUAACUACGUGCCAGCAGCCGCGGUAAUACGUAGGGCGCGAGCGUUGUCCGGAAUUAUUGGGCGUAAAGGGCUUGUAGGCGGUUGGCCGCGUCUGCCGUGAAAUCCUCUGGCUUAACUGGGGGCGUGCGGUGGGUACGGGUUGACUUGAGUGCGGUAGGGGAGACUGGAAUUCCUGGUGUAGCGGUGGAAUGCGCAGAUAUCAGGAGGAACACCGGUGGCGAAGGCGGCUCUCUGGGCCGUUACUGACGCUGAGGUGCGAAAGCGUGGGGAGCAAACAGG
rnacentral:rRNA from 1 species